GAUGAACGCUAGCUACAGGCUUAACACAUGCAAGUCGAGGGACCGGCGCACGGGUGAGUAACACGUAUCCAACCUCCCCUUUACUCGGUGAUAGCCUUUCGAAAGACAGAUUAAUACCCGCUAUAACGGCUGGGGAUGCGUUGCAUUAGGUUGUUGUUGAGGUACCGGCUCACCAAGCCUUGGAUGGAUAGGGGUUCUGAGGGGAAGUUCCCCCACAGGGGAACUGAGAACCGGUCCAAACUCCUACGGGAGGCAGUAGUGAGGAAGAUUGGUGAAUGGGCGCUAGCCCGAACCAGCCAAGUAUCGUGAAGGAUGAAGGCUUAUGGGUCGUAAACUUCUUUUAUAUAAGAAUAGGUAUUAUAUGAAUAAGGAUCGGCUAACGCCGUGCCAGCAGCCGCGGUAAUUC
rnacentral:rRNA from 1 species